rnacentral:rRNA from 1 species
GCAAGCUAACGCUUGAAUACAUUAGCAUGGAAUAAUGAAAUAGGACGUUCGAUCCUAUUUUGUUGGUUUCUAGGAUUGACGUAAUGAUUAAUAGGGAUAGUUGGGGGCAUUAGUAUUCAAUUGUCAGAGGUGAAAUUCUUGGAUUUAUUGAAGACUAACUACUGCGAAAGCAUUUGCCAAGGAUGUUUUCAUUAAUCAAGAACGAAAGUUAGGGGAUCGAAGACGAUCAGAUACCGUCGUAGUCUUAACCAUAAACUAUGCCGACUAGGGAUCGGAUGAUGUUAAUUUUUUAAUGACUCAUUCGGCGCCUUACGGGAAACCAAAGUGUUUGGGUUCCGGGGGGAGUAUGGUCGCAAGGCUGAAACUUAAAGGAAUUGACGGAAGGGCACCACCAGGCGUGGAGCCUGCG